GGGAAGAGCCCAAACCAACAAGCUUGCUUGUUGGGGUUGUAGGACACUCUAUACGGAGUUACAAAGGACGACAUUAGACGAAUCAUCUGGAAAGAUGAAUCAAAGAAGGUAAUAAUCCUGUAGUCGAAAAUGUUGUCUCUCUUGAGUGGAUCCUGAGUACGACGGAGCACGUGAAAUUCCGUCGGAAUCUGGGAGGACCAUCUCCUAAGGCUAAAUACUCUCUAGUGACCGAUAGUGAACCAGUACCGUGAGGGAAAGGUGAAAAGCACCCCGGAAGGGGAGUGAAAUAGAACCUGAAACCGUGUGCUUACAAGUAGUCAGAGCCCGUUAAUGGGUGAUGGCGUGCCUUUUGUAGAAUGAACCGGCGAGUUACGAUUUGAUGCAAGGUUAAGCAGUAAAUGUGGAGCCGUAGCGAAAGCGAGUCUGAAUAGGGCGUUUAGUAUUUGGUCGUAGACCCGAAACCAGGUGAUCUACCCUUGGUCAGGUUGAAGUUCAGGUAACACUGAAUGGAGGACCGAACCGACUUACGUUGAAAAGUGAGCGGAUGAACUGAGGGUAGCGGAGAAAUUCCAAUCGAACCUGGAGAUAGCUGGUUCUCUCCGAAAUAGCUUUAGGGCUAGCCUCAAGUGAUGAUUAUUGGAGGUAGAGCACUGUUUGGACGAGGGGCCCCUCUCGGGUUACCGAAUUCAGACAAACUCCGAAUGCCAAUUAAUUUAACUUGGGAGUCAGAACAUGGGUGAUAAGGUCCGUGUUCGAAAGGGAAACAGCCCAGACCACCAGCUAAGGUCCCAAAAUAUAUGUUAAGUGGAAAAGGAUGUGGCGUUGCCCAGACAACUAGGAUGUUGGCUUAGAAGCAGCCAUCAUUUAAAGAGUGCGUAAUAGCUCACUAGUCGAGUGACACUGCGCCGAAAAUGUACCGGGGCUAAACAUAUUACCGAAGCUGUGGAUUGUCCUUUGGACAAUGGUAGGAGAGCGUUCUAAGGGCGUUGAAGCAU
rnacentral:rRNA from 1 species